AGAAUCAACGCUGGCGGCGUGCCUAACACAUGCAAGUCGAACGAGAAAGGGGAGCAAUCCCUGAGUACAGUGGCGACCGGGUGAGUAACACGUGACCAACCUACCUUCGAGUGGGGGAUAACUCCGGGAAACCGGGGCUAAUACCGCAUAACAUCUUUGGAAUGCAAAUUCCGUUGAUCAAAGGAGCAAUUCGCUUGAAGAGGGGGUCGCGGCUGAUUAGCUAGUUGGCGGGGUAAUGGCCCACCAAGGCGAAGAUCGGUAUCCGGCCUGAGAGGGCGCACGGACACACUGGAACUGAAACACGGUCCAGACUCCUACGGGAGGCAGCAGUGGGGAAUUUUGCGCAAUGGGGGAAACCCUGACGCAGCAACGCCGCGUGGAGGAUGAAGUCCCUUGGGACGUAAACUCCUUUCGACCAAGACGAUAAUGACGGUACUGGUGGAAGAAGCACCGGCUAACUCUGUGCCAGCAGCCGC
rnacentral:rRNA from 1 species